CAGUCGCCGCGGGAACACGAAGGGUGCAAGCGUUAAUCGGAAUUACUGGGCGUAAAGCGUGCGUAGGCGGUGAGUUAAGUCUGCUGUGAAAUCCCCGGGCUCAACCUGGGAAUGGCAGUGGAUACUGGCUCGCUAGAGUGUGUCAGAGGAUGGUGGAAUUCCCGGUGUAGCGGUGAAAUGCGUAGAGAUCGGGAGGAACAUCAGUGGCGAAGGCGGCCAUCUGGGACAACACUGACGCUGAGGCACGAAAGCGUGGGGAGCAAACAGGAUUAGAUACCCGAGUAGUCCCUGUCUCUUAUAA
rnacentral:rRNA from 1 species